GUGGUAAAACAAGAGCCUUCCAAGCUCUGGUCGAGAGUUCGAUUCUCUUCACCCGCUCCA
rnacentral:tRNA from 1 species